CCUACGGGAGGCAGCAGUGAGGAAUAUUGGUCAAUGGCCGUAAGGCUGAACCAGCCAAGUCGCGUGAAGGAAGAAGGGUCUAUGGUUUGUAAACUUCUUUUAUAGGGGAAUAAAGGUAUCCACGUGUGGAUAUUUGCAUGUACCCUAUGAAUAAGCAUCGGCUAACUCCGUGCCAGCAGCCGCGGUAAUACGGAGGAUGCGAGCGUUAUCCGGUUUUAUUGGGUUUAAAGGGUGCGUAGGUUGUGUUUUAAGUCAGCGGGGAAAGUUUGUGGCUCAACCAUAAAAUUGCCGUUGAAACUGGAAGACUUGAGUGUGUUUGAGGUAGGCGGAAUGCGUGGUGUAGCGGUGAAAUGCAUAGAUAUCACGCAGAACUCCGAUUGCGAAGGCAGCUUACUAAGCCAUAACUGACACUGAAGCACGAAAGCGUGGGGAUCAAACAGGAUUAGAUACCCCAGUAGUC
rnacentral:rRNA from 1 species